rnacentral:rRNA from 1 species
GGAAUAGCCUUUCGAAAGAAAGAUUAAUACCGGAUGGCAUACGAAUAUCGCAUGAUAUUUUUAUUAAAGAAUUUCGGUUAUCGAUGGGGAUGCGUUCCAUUAGUUUGUUGGCGGGGUAACGGCCCACCAAGACAACGAUGGAUAGGGGUUCUGAGAGGAAGGUCCCCCACAUUGGAACUGAGACACGGUCCAAACUCCUACGGGAGGCAGCAGUGAGGAAUAUUGGUCAAUGGGCGAGAGCCUGAACCAGCCAAGUAGCGUGAAGGAUGAAGGCUCUAUGGGUCGUAAACUUCUUUUAUAUGGGAAUAAAGUUUUCCACGUGUGGAAUUUUGUAUGUACCAUAUGAAUAAGGAUCGGCUAACUCCGUGCCAGCAGCCGCGGUAAUACGGAGGAUCCGAGCGUUAUCCGGAUUUAUUGGGUUUAAAGGGAGCGUAGGUGGAUUGUUAAGUCAGUUGUGAAAGUUUGCGGCUCAACCGUAAAAUUGCAGUUGAAACUGGCAGUCUUGAGUACAGUAGAGGUGGGCGGAAUUCGUGGUGUAGCGGUGAAAUGCUUAGAUAUCACGAAGAACUCCGAUUGCGAAGGCAGCUCACUAGACUGUUACUGACACUGAUGCUCGAAAGUGUGGGUAUCAAACAGGAUUAGAUACCCUGGUAGUCCACACAGUAAACGAAGAAGACUCGCUGUUUGCGAUAUACAGUAAGCGGCCAAG